AUUGAACGCUGGCGGCAGGCCUAACACAUGCAAGUCGAACGUUUGGCAGACGGGUGAAUAAUGUCUGGGAAACUCCCUGAUGGAGGGGGAUAACUACUGAAAACGUUGGCUAAUCCCGCAUACCAUCAGAUGUGCCCAGAUGUGAUUAGCUUUUUGGUGGGGUAACGGCGCACCAGGGCGACGAUCCCUAGCUGGUCUGAGAGGAUGACCACCCACACUGGAACUGAGAAACGGCCCAGACUCCUACGGGAGGAAGAAGUGGGGAAUAUUGCAAAAUGGGGGCAAUCUUGAUGAAGAAAGGCGGAGUGUAUGAAGAAGGCUUUCGGGUUGUAAAGUAUUUUCAGCGGGGAGGCGUUAACUGCAGAAGAAGCACCGGCUAACUCCGUGCCAGCAGCCGCGGUAAUUC
rnacentral:rRNA from 1 species